ACUGAAUGAUCUAACUCUUCAGCUGAUUGGAUUAAAAGCAGGAGAGCUAACCUAGAUUUUGUAGUGUGUCUCGUAACUUUUUAACAUCUUGUUUUUCCUUAAACCUCAGUUCUUAAAAUGUAAUAUCUGAACUUAAGCCGGUGCCUGUCUUAAGUCUGGAGGGUGAUGCAAUCUGCAGCUUUAAUAUAAAAAGAGAAAAUACUUGUGAUGCCAAAGUACAUUUCAAAAGAACUAAUUUCUGACCUUGAAAGGAUGAGUAAAAUGCUCUGGGCUUCACUACAUAUAAAACAAGUAAAGCCAAAACAGGGAAAGUUACAGAUUCCACCCACCCAAUGAAACAGAAAAGGCUUCCUUUUAUUACCCCAUAAAAAUAAAACUGCAUGUUUCCAGUUGUUCAGGGUGACAAAAUCUGAGAGAAGUGCCAAACUAUACUGUGGAGUGUAUUGGCCUUACCAGUAUGAUGAAUCCCUUCACAUCAGUUAAGCAGGCUCUGUACCAUUUACCUUUUGCCUAGGCACUGUGCUGAAUUUUGAUUGUGAGUGAAGUAAUAUUGAAUUUCUGAACCUGUAUACCCAGUUCUGUCCCAGAGAGGAGGAGGAGGAACAAAUCAGCAAGGGAUGGCGUGGGAGGGGGAGUAAUACUAAAGCUUAGAUGAAAACUAGAGUUGUCUGGACAUCCUCUCCUGGGCCCUGCCUUUUUCCAUUUGCGCAAACCUUCCUUUCAAAAGCAAGGCCCCACUAGGCCCCUGUGAGUGAUCCAUAGGACUUGGUUUUCACAGUAAUCUGCUAGUUAUGGGGUUCUCAAACUUCAUUGCAUUGCAACCCCCUUCUGACAACAAAAAUUGCUUCACGACCCCAGGAGGGGGACUAAAGCCUGAGCCCACCUAAGCCCGACUGCCCCCGGUGGGAGGGCCAAAGCCCAAGCACUACUGCUCUGGGCAGGAGGGCCAAAGCUGAAGCUUAAGGGCUUCAGCCUCAGGCCUGUGGCCUGCAACCUGAGUCCUGCCACCCAGGGCUGAAGCCCUCGGGCUUUGGCUUUGGUCCUGGGCAAUGGUGCUUGGGCUUCAGCCCCAGGCCCCAGCAAGUCUAAGCCAGCCUUGGCCACCCCAUUCAAAGGAGGUUCCGACCCACUUUGGGGUCCUGACCCACAGUUUGAGAACUGCUGUGCUAGUCCAUGUUCCUCUGAGAAGAAAUGUGAUCAGUAUUCAAAGCGUGGGACUGGGAGACUUGAGGUCCUGAAUUGUAAACCUGGCUCUGUCAUUGAUUUGCACUGUGGUAAUUCAGGCUCUGAAGCUGUGGAAUGCCGAGCCCCUUCAGCUCCCAUUAACACCACUCUUAGCACCUAGGAGGAUCAACUCUUUACCCUCUUCCUAGAUUUCAUUCCCCUAAUAUAAAACAGGGCAUGGGAACCAUACUUCAUUGGUGUGUUGUGGAGAGUGAUCAGUUAAUGGGCCAAAUUCUGCUCUCUUUCAUCUGUUCAGCACCCUGGACUUCAGGUGUAAUGGAUAAAAAGUUGGACAAACAUUGGGAUGCAUUCUUUUCUAAACAUGCAGUAUUUAAAAGCUGUCUGGCAUUACUGAUGUGGUCUUUGGGUCCAGCUGAAUGUAGUUUUUCCUGGGUGGCCUUUGCAGUUUUGCAGACCUAGAAGUGCUCUGAGAGAUGUUCACUGCAGGAAAUAAUUGGUGCCUAAUUGACAUUCCAGUGACUCCCUUGGGCUGGAGGGUACCUUUCCUGAAGACACUGGCUGAUGUAUAAACGUCUAAGCUACCUGCAGUCAUGUAGUAAACACACACCUCUGGUAUGUGCUUUGUAUGAUAAAUUGGUGUCUCAUUCUUGCUAAUUGCUUUCUGGCUGCUUUAUCAACAGACAGGUAUCUUCUCCAAGCAGCUUUUAUGUGCUCUCUCCAGAAUUGUCAGGCUGACUCUGCUAACUGUUAGAACCCAAGGGCACAAUGGUAAGGCAGAGAGGGAAAGUUGCUGCAAUUAAUGCUGAUACAGGGUUUAUUAAGAUGAAAAGACUUUUCUCAAAAGUCCUAAACAGUGAAUGGCUGAUGUAUGGCGUGAGGAGGGUAAAUCAGGAAAGCUGGUACAGUAUGUUUCUUCUGAUGCAGUGACAUAUGGAAGAGAUGGUGCCUUGGAAGGGAGGGAGCAGAGAAGUUUGCCGCUGGCUCUGGAUAGCCCCAAUCCUGCUGCCACUGAAUUUUGCCACUAUCUUCAAUGGAAGCAGGAGGAGAAGGUGACCCAGCAACGAGUGUCUGUGCGAAAGAGCAGCUGCAAUCCAUUGGCCAUCCCCACUGAAUACCAGGAGGAGAGUGAAGAUGAAAGGUUUUCCCAGAGGUGAAGAAGUAGAACAAAAGAAACCAAAGGGACAGUCUGGAAGAAGAAAACAUCUGUGACAGUUUGGUCUGCUACUAUAAGGUAAAUGCCAUAAUAUCAGCCUGUACAGACAAUGUCUGCAUUUGGGGAUACAGAUUUAUCAAUGGAAGGCAGUAUUGUGUAGUGGUUAAAGCACCAAACUGCGUGCAAGACAGAGAUGUGACCAGAACCUAGAUAAGGGAUUCACAAUGCAAACUUGAGAAAAUCACAUAAGCCCUCUGUCUCCAUUUCCCUAUUUGUAAAAUAGCAAACCGAUGUACUUCUGUGAAGUGCUUUAAGAUCCUUGACUGAGAAGUGCCAUGGAUAUAGCACAGAGGUAUCCAUCCAAUAAUCAGUGGAACAUCUCCUUUUCAAAUAAAGUCUCUAGAAAAUAACAGAAGCUCUCAGCUGUAAGAAAAGAGUAAGUAGAUUCAACCCAUUCCUAAUGAGCAGGCACAGCCUUUAAUUCCCUUUUUCCCUCCCUCUCUGGAGUUCCAUGGCAUCUCCUUUGACUUUGCUCUGUCAAACUGCAGAGCCUAAAUCUGCCCUGGCACCUCAGAAAAACUAGAGAUAAAAGGAAAAAAAAUGUGUACAAGUCAGACAGGUGGAAAAGGCUUUUGUGCUUCCCUGGUAAUCUGAGAGCUUUUGAGUCCCUCCUAGACUCCCUGAUUUGACUGCAACAAAGAGUCCUGUGGCACCUUAGAGACUAACAGAUGUAUUGGAGCAUGAGCUUUCGUGGGUGAAUAGUGUUCACUGAAUACCCACUUCGUCAGAUCCUACAGCCUUAGUCAAAACUUCCACAGGCUUUGAAAGUGUUACCAGAAGACAGACCUUGGAACCUGACCCAGCAAUAGUCUGUCCCCACAGUAAAACAUAAAGCAAUUAAAGAGAGCAGACAUUUCAGCUAGUGCGAACCAGUACUUAGGCAGCUUCCUUCACCAAUGAUGUCAAAGUCCUUUAAAGCUAGCUGAGUACUAAUAUACCCAUUUUACAGGUGGUGAAACAAGCCCCAGGAAGCUUAACUUCACCAGGAUCAUGUGGAGAACCAGUAGAAUAUACGCUUGCUGGAUACCCUGUCAUCCAUUAGCCAUUAGACCUUGUAGCCUUUGGGUGUAAAAAUACUUUUCACUCUUUUAGCGGCUUCCAUGUUAUGAUUCCAAAGCAUUUUAUAAACACUGAUCUUCUCAACAUCCCUCUAAGGUAGGAAAUCAUGAUUAACUACCCCUAUUUUAUAGAAAGUGAAAAUGAAGCACAGAGGAGAGAGUGGAGUGCCGCAGGUCACACACAAGCUCUGUGGUACAGCCAGAAAUAGAACCUUGUAUUCACAGUUUUAUGCCUUAACCACAAGCCCAGUGGUCCCCAACCUUUUUGGCUGGUAGGCGCCAGCCAAAGGACCACUGCGGCGGUGGAGCACCUGCCGAAAUGCCGCCAAAUUUCGGCAGCAACACCUCUCGAUGA